rnacentral:rRNA from 1 species
GACGAACGCUGGCGGCGUGCUUAACACAUGCAAGUCGAACGGAAAGGCCUGCUUUCCCUUGUGGAUUGCGGGUACUCGAGUGGCGAACGGGUGAGUAACACGUGAGUGAUCUGCCCCCAACUUGGGUAUAAGCCUGGGAAACUGGGUCUAAUUCCCGAUAGGACUGCAGGGUGGUGCCUGUGGUGGAAAACGAUUUUCUAGUGGUUGGGGAUGAGCUCGCGGCCUAUCAGCUUGUUGGUGGGGUAAUGGCCUACCAAGGCGGCGACGGGUAGCCGGCCUGAGAGGGUGGACGGCCACAUUGGGACUGAGAUACGGCCCAGACUCCGACGGGAGGCAGCAGUGGGGAAUAUUGCACAAUGGGCGGAAGCCUGAUGCAGCGACGCCGCGUGGGGGAUGACGGCCUUCGGGUUGUAAACUCCUCUCGACCGCGAGGAAGCCACCUGGUUGGAAGGGUGGUGACGGUAGUGGUAGAAGAAGCACCGGCUAACUACGUG